UGCAAGUCGAACGGAAUCUUUCGGGAUUUAGUGGCGGACGGGUGAGUAACGCCUAAGAAUCUACCUUCAGGUUGGGGACAACCACUGGAAACGGUGGCUAAUACCGAAUGUGCCGAGAGGUGAAAGGCUUGCUGCCUGAAGAAGAGCUUGCGUCUGAUUAGCUAGUUGGUGGGGUAAGAGCCUACCAAGGCGACGAUCAGUAGCUGGUCUGAGAGGAUGAUCAGCCACACUGGGACUGAGACACGGCCCAGACUCCUACGGGAGGCAGCAGUGGGGAAUUUUCCGCAAUGGGCGAAAGCCUGACGGAGCAAUACCGCGUGAGGGAGGAAGGCUCUUGGGUUGUAAACCUCUUUUCUCAGGGAAGAAAAAAAUGACGGUACCUGAGGAAUAAGCAUCGGCUAACUCCGUGCCAGCAGCCGCGGUAAUACGGAGGAUGCAAGCGUUAUCCGGAAUGAUUGGGCGUAAAGGGUCCGCAGGUGGCAUUGUAUGUCUGCUGUUAAAGAGUCUGGCUCAACCAGAUCAAAGCAGUGGAAACUACAAAGCUAGAGUCUGGUCGGGGCAGAGGGAAUUCCUGGUGUAGCGGUGAAAUGCGUAGAUAUCAGGAAGAACACCGGUGGCGAAGGCGCUCUGCUAGGCCAAAACUGACACUGAGGGACGAAAGCUAGGGGAGCGAAUGGGAUUAGAUACCCCAGUAGUCCUAGCCGUAAACGAUGGAUACUAGGCGUAGCUCGUAUCGACCCGAGCUGUGCCGUAGCUAACGCGUUAAGUAUCCCGCCUGGGGAGUACGCAGGCAACUGUGAAACUCAAAGGAAUUUGACGGGGGCCCGCACAAGCGGUGGAGUAUGUGGUUUAAUUCCAUGCAAC
rnacentral:rRNA from 1 species